rnacentral:lncRNA from 1 species
AUUCAAAUACGAAAGCGGCUGCAGGAUUCACCGUGUAAUUUGAGUAUCUGUUACUGUAUUAUUUUUCCUUUACGUAAUCGUGUCUCCAUGAUGGCAUAAUAUGAGUGAUCGAUCGAUUACGAACGGUGUAAAUAAAUUUCAGAUAAAUUUUGUUCAAUGGUUUGUGCGGAUUUACAUGUUCUUCUAUGAUUUAGCUUUUGAAGAUUG